rnacentral:lncRNA from 1 species
CCUACCGUCAUCUCUUUAAUCUUCCAAUCAUUUUACACAACCCGUAAAUCAUCUUUUGAUUCUUCUCCUUUACAAUAUUGCAACUCAAACCCUAACUUCCAUCUUCCUCCUCUGAGCCUUAAUACAAACCCUAACUUACAGCAACUGCUGUUUGUUUUGGCAAGACCUUUUUUUGUGGUGAAAGUUUUCAUUCUCCCCUUUUGUUACUGUUUUCUUCAUUCCUAUUUCCUGCACAAGAGACAAGCGAGAGAUAUAGAGAGAGAAAAAAGGGAACCGACCCGCCACCCAUUAUUACACAAUCUUUUGAAGCUUUCAAAACUAUUGGAGCCAACAAAUAGAUCCAGCGACGGCGUAGUACAUCGUACGGUAGCAUCUCCAUUACGCUUUAACCAACCCUUCCUCCUCUCACCGGUCCUUAUCUUUCUCAUGGAUAUCUAGUACUGGUGUCUGGUGUUGAUUGGAGUUUUACGAAAACUGUUUCGUGACAUUUGAUUGUUUUCGCAUCGGAAUUAAGCAAUUUACUUUAAAAUUGUCUCCAUGGUUGCUGAAAGGAAACAUAGAGGAUUUUGUUUGUCAUGCCAACGCUGAAGUAUCAAGGCUCUACAAUGCAGGGAUAUGCUUAUGGUGUGGCCAUGUUGAAUACAAUUGGUUAUAUAUGCACGCCAAACAACUAAGGUGGUUGGUUUGUCAUUCAAAGGCAUGAAUUAGGGUUGCGUUGUUUAUCAAACCAAGAUUGAACAGUGAAGCUUUAUGUUGU